AAGGUAUUUCAUGUGACAUCACAUCACACCAAGGAGACAUGACAGUGGGGACGUGACCACAGCACUAAUCUCACCACACAUCACACCCUCAGAAGCAUCCAGUCCAGAGUAAUGGGACAGCCUGCAAAGAUGCAUCUUCUGCGUCAGCUCAGAGGGUGUUUGCACAGAAUGGCUCCCUCCUCUGCAAAAGUGGGCUUCCUGUUCAGCGACCCUACAUUGAACCCAACCAGUUACUGAUGAACUGAAGACUUCAGCCUUCCCUGCCCUUGAAAAUUUGUGAUGCAG
rnacentral:lncRNA from 1 species